AGUCGAGCGGAGAUGAGGUGCUUGCACCUUAUCUUAGCGGCGGACGGGUGAGUAAUGCUUAGGAAUCUGCCAUUUAGGGGGGGACAACAUUCCGAAAGGAAUGCUAAUACCGCAUACGUCCUACGGGAGAAAGCAGGGGAUCUUCGGACCUUGCGCUAAAUGAUGAGCCUAAGUCGGAUUAGCUAGUUGGGGGGGUAAAGGCCUACCAAGGCGACAAUCUGUAGCGGGUCUGAGAGGAUGAUCCGCCACACUGGGACUGAAACACGGCCCAAACUCCUACGGGAGGCAGCAGUGGGGAAUAUUGGACAAUGGGCGGAAGCCUGAUCCAGCCAUGCCGCGUGUGUGAAGAAGGCCUUUUGGUUGUAAAGCACUUUAAGCGAGGAGGAGGCUACCUGGAUUAAUACUCUGGGAUAGUGGACGUUACUCGCAAAAUAAGCACCGGCUAACUCUGUG
rnacentral:rRNA from 1 species